rnacentral:rRNA from 1 species
UGCCAGCAGCCGCGGUAAGACAGAGGGUGCAAACGUUGUUCGGAAUUACUGGGCAUAAAGCGCACGUAGGCGGCCGUAUAAGUCAGAUGUGAAAGCCCCCGGCUCAACCGGGGAACUGCAUUUGAUACUGUAUAGCUAGAGGACGGUAGGGGUGAGUGGAACUCCAGGUGGAGCGGUGAAAUGCGUAGAUAUCUGGAGGAACACCGGUGGCGAAAGCGGCUCACUGGACCGUAUCAGACGCUGAGGUGCGAAAGCUAGGGUAGCAAACGGGAUUAGAUA